AAAAUAGAAUAGUAAAGGAAAUUCUGCAUCUCGCGCGAACUAUAACACAUUGCAACAUCAUUGAGAAAAUAGUUUGUUCAUUGGAAUUUCGUAUGGACUUAUUAAUCAUUAUUUUGGAUCAUACAUCACAAGUCAUUAAACAAAGAUAUGUGUGUAGACUAUCGCUAAAUAACGAACGGCCAAUGCGUUUGAAGAUGAGGAUUUGCAGCAAACAAAUAGAACUUAUUGAUUUAGAAGAUAAUAAAAAAAUAGCCGAAUCUAUGUUCACUUUUCGUAUUCCAUCCAUCAUUUUUAAACACGCCGAACAUGCGCAGAUUUAUUUUCAUAUUCACCUGAAAAAAGCGAUCGAUCUAAGCAUUUACACUUGAAAAAAGAUCGAUUCAAAUAAGAUUGAUCUUUUUAAAACUACAUCGAUAUCUGGAAGUAGACUUUUUAAGACCGAUUGAAGAUCGAUCUUUUCCGUUUUCAUUAUUCCAUCCAUCGUUUUGAAAAACGUGUGUGUUUGCCGCCAAACAUAGGU
rnacentral:lncRNA from 1 species